CAAUAGCGUAUAUUAACGUUGUUGCAGUUAAAAAGCUCGUAGUUGGAUUUCUGGAGGGAGCGUCGGCCCGUAUUUACGAGUGCGUGACGUCUCUGUCCAUCCUUGCGGGAAGGCACGGCAUUGAUUUGUUGUGUCGGAUCGCAUCAUUUACUGUGAAAAAAUUAGAGUGUUCAAAGCAGGCUUUCGCUUGAAUACAUUAGCAUGGAAUAAUAAGAUAGGACUUUGGUGCUAUUUUGUUGGUUGAGCCUAAAGUAAUGAUUAAUAGGGAUAGUUGGGGGCACCUGUAUUGCGUUGUCAGAGGUGAAAUUCUUGGAUUUACGGAAGACAAACAGCUGCGAAAGCGUCUGCCAAGGAUGUUUUCAUUAA
rnacentral:rRNA from 1 species